rnacentral:rRNA from 1 species
ACGCUCGACACCUACGGGAGCAGCAGUGGGGAAUAUUGCACAAUGGGGGAAACCCUGAUGCAGCGACGCCGCGUGAGCGAAGAAGUAUUUCGGUAUGUAAAGCUCUAUCAGCAGGGAAGAAACUGACGGUACCUGACUAAGAAGCACCGGCUAAAUACGUGUCAGCAGCCGCGGUAAUCUGAGCGGGCUGGCAAGGC